rnacentral:sRNA from 2 species
UUUAAGUAUCGCGUGAUCUGUAACCGUUGCCGGGGCAGCGACGAGCGCGCCUAAGAUCUGAUCCUCCCAAGACUUGACCGCGAAUUCGGCAAGAAUUUA